rnacentral:rRNA from 1 species
UUAUAUCCUCAUUUUGAUGGUACUCAAUCAUGUGCAGAGGGCAACAGCAGGUUGUGCGUCUCUGUCAGAGACUACUACUGUUACGUGCUGCAGACACGGCCUGUGAUCUUUAAUCCCAUACUCUAUGGAGCACGCCUCUUGCAGCAAUGGGCCGUCGACAUGUACGUCAAGAUUGAAAGUUGUCGGUUGAGGUGGUACAGGAAGAACCAGACGCAGAUUCCUGCCGACUUGUAUAAAGGAGUUGUUGAUGCGAUCAUUGGGGAGAUACGAGCAAGCGCUAUUGGGGUAAGAAUAGUUCUCCCUGGAACAUACCCUGGUGGCGACCGC